CCUUUGGUGAUGCAAAUGGUUAAUGUGCUCAGCUGCUAACUGAGAGGUUGGAGGUUCAAGUCUACCCAAAGGC
rnacentral:tRNA from 1 species